rnacentral:rRNA from 1 species
GAUGAACGCUAGCGGCAGGCUUAACACAUGCAAGUCGAGGGGCAGCACGGUGUAGUAAUACAUUGGUGGCGACCGGCGCACGGGUGCGUAACGCGUAUGCAACCUACCUUUAACUGGGGAAUAGCUUCGAGAAAUCGGAAUUAAUGCCCCAUAACAUAUUGAAUACGCAUGUAUUUAAUAUUAAAGCUCCGGCGGUUAAAGAUGGGCAUGCGUGACAUUAGCUAGUUGGUAAGGUAAUGGCUUACCAAGGCUACGAUGUCUAGGGGGUCUGAGAGGAUUAACCCCCAAACUGGUACUGGGACACGGACCAGACUCCUACGGGAGGCAGCAGUGAGGAAUAUUGGUCAAUGGGCGCAAGCCUGAACCAGCCAUGCCGCGUGAAGGAUGAAUGCCUUAUAGGUUGUAAACUUCUUUUGUACGGGGUGAAACUCUCGAACGUGUUCGAGAUUGACGGUACCGUACGAAUAAGCACCGGCUAACCCCGUGCCAGCAGCCGCCGUAA